UGUCGUUGAAUGAUGAUAUUAUAGUUCAAAUGACUUCGAUGAUUACCUCACUAGAGUUAUAAUAGUCUUUCGCUCCUAUCUGACCAACGACU